GAUGAACGCUGGCGGCGUGCCUAAUACAUGCAAGUCGAGCGAAUGGAUUAAGAGCUUGCUCUUAUGAAGUUAGCGGCGGACGGAUGAGUAACACGUGGGUAACCUGCCCAUAAGACUGGGAUAACUCCGGGAAACCGGGGCUAAUACCGGAUAACAUUUUGAACCGCAUGGUUCGAAAUUGAAAGGCGGCUUCGGCUGUCACUUAUGGAUGGACCCGCGUCGCAUUAGCUAGUUGGUGAGGUAACGGCUCACCAAGGCAACGAUGCGUAGCCGACCUGGGAGGGUGAUCGGCCACACGGGGACUGGGACACGGCCCAGACUCCUACGGGAGGAAGCAGUAGGGAAUCUUCCGCAAUGGACGAAAGUCUGACGGAGCAACGCCGCGUGAGUGAUGAAGGCUUUCGGGUCGUAAAACUCUGUUGUUAGGGAAGAACAAGUGCUAGUUGAAUAAGCUGGCACCUUGACGGUACCUAACCAGAAAGCCACGGCUAACUACGUGCCAGCAGCCGCAGUAA
rnacentral:rRNA from 1 species